UAGGGAAUCUUCCACAAUGGACGAAAGUCUGACCGAGCAACGCCGCGUGAGUGAAGAAGGUUUUCGGAUCGUAAAACUCUGUUGGUAGAGAAGAACGUUGGUGAGAGUGGAAAGCUCAUCAAGUGACGGUAACUACCCAGAAAGGGACGGCUAACUACGUGCCAGCAGCCGCGGUAAUACGUAGGUCCCGAGCGUUGUCCGGAUUUAUUGGGCGUAAAGCGAGCGCAGGUGGUUUAUUAAGUCUGGUGUAAAAGGCAGUGGCUCAACCAUUGUAUGCAUUGGAAACUGGUAGACUUGAGUGCAGGAGAGGAGAGUGGAAUUCCAUGUGUAGCGGUGAGAUGCGUAGAUAUAUGGAGGAACACCGGUGGCGAAAGCGGCUCUCUGGCCUGUAACUGACACUGAGGCUCGAAAGCGUGGGGAGCAAACAGGAUUAGAUACCCU
rnacentral:rRNA from 1 species